ACCGAGCGGCGAACGGGUGAGUAACACGUGAGGAACCUGCCCCCAAGUCUGGGAUAACCCCGGGAAACCGGAGCUAACACCGGAUGCCCUCUCUGGAUCGCAUGGUCUGGCGAGGAAAGUUUACGCUUGGGGAGGGUCUCGCGGCCUAUCAGCUUGUUGGCGGGGUAAUGGCCCACCAAGGCGUCGACGGGUAGCUGGUCUGAGAGGACGACCAGCCACACUGGGACUGAGACACGGCCCAG
rnacentral:rRNA from 1 species